UGGACUUGAGUGUUGUUGUUUUACCUCUGGAUCUUGAUAGGGCAACCUGGACUAUAAGUUUUGCAGCCGUGGAAGUGUCGAAGAACUCAAUGUCUGAGAUCAAUUGCUUAUUCUGAGUCUCAAAUCUUUAUCAAAAUAAUCUGCAGAUUUGAUUUUCAGCUUGUGGAUAUGCAGUGGAAAAAAUCUUAGAUAUUCUUACUAGUAUUAAUGGCCAAGUCUUG
rnacentral:misc_RNA from 1 species